UACAGAGGUGGCAAGCGUUGUUCGGAAUUACUGGGCGUAAAGGGCGCGUAGGCGGUUCUGUAAGUCCCGCGUGAAAUCCCCCGGCUCAACUGGGGAACUGCGUGGGAAACUGUGGGGCUAGAGUUCAGGAGAGGGAAGCGGAAUUCCGGGUGUAGCGGUGAAAUGCGUAGAUAUCUGGAGGAACACCGGUGGCGAAGGCGGCAUCCUGGACCAAUACUGACGCUGAGGAGCGAAAGCCAGGGGAGCAAAGCGGG
rnacentral:rRNA from 1 species